CCUACCCCCUGUGAUUUGGGCACAGAGACCACGGUCCCAUCUGCACCAGUGUGGGGCUUAUCAUCUCCCCUUGGUGGGCUAGGCUGCCGCUGGGGAGGGGGAACGAGGCUCUCCCCUCCCGGUAGAAUACUCUGCCGCUGGGGAGCAGGACCGACUGUCCGUACUCCCUGUAGCUUGGGCGCAGAGACCACGGUCCCAUUUGCGCCCAUGGGGAGCUUAGUGUCUCCCCUUG